GAUGAACGCUGGCGGCGUGCUUAAUACAUGCAAGUCGAACGAAGAGCCUUUGUAGCAAUACAGGGGUUUCUUAGUGGCGAACGGGUGCGUAACGCGUUGGUGACCUGCCCCAAAGUGUGGGAUAACAGUUCGAAAGGAUUGCUAAUACCGCAUGUGGUCAUCGGGUUUAGAAGCCGAUGACUAUAGCAGUAAUGCGCUUUGGGAGGGACCUGCGUCCCAUCAGCUAGUUGGGGAGGUAAUGGCCCACCAAGGCUUCGACGGGUAGGGGACCUGAGAGGGUGGUCCCCCACACUGGCACUGAAACACGGGCCAGACACCUACGGGUGGCAGCAGUAGGGAAUAUUGGGCAAUGGGCGAAAGCCUGACCCAGCAACGCCGCGUGCACGAUGAAGGUCUUCGGAUCGUAAAGUGCUUUUCUGAGAGAUGAGAAAGGACAGUAUCUCAGGAAUAAGUCUCGGCUAACUACGUGCCAGCAGCCGCCGUAACAC
rnacentral:rRNA from 1 species